AUUGAACGCUGGCGGCAGGCUUAACACAUGCAAGUCGAGUGAGCGGCGGACGGGUGAGUAAUUUCUGGGACCCUGCCUGAUGGAGGGGGAUAACUACUGGAAACGGUAGCUACUACCGCAUACCAUCAGAUGUGCCCAGCUGGGAUUAGCUAGUAGGUGGGGGAAUGGCUCACCUAGGCGACGAUCCCUAGCUGGUCUGAGAGGAUGACCAGCAAAACGGGAACUGAGACACGGUCCAGACUCCUACGGGAGGAAGCAGUGGGGAAUAUUGCACAAUGGGCGCAAGCCUGAUGCAGCCAUGCCGCGUGUGUGAAGAAGGCCUUCGGGUUGUAAAGCACUUUCAGCGAGGAGGCGUUACUCGCAGAAGAAGCACCGGCUAACUCCGUGCCAGCAGCCGCGGUAAUUC
rnacentral:rRNA from 1 species